GCGUCUCAUAGAUAAUACUACAUCUGUGCUACAAAGGAAUGUUCUUUUUGGAAAAGCAACGGAAGCGGAAUGGACCAGCAGCGACCAGGAGAUGGUGCAAGUACUGCGGGAUUUUGGUAAAGUGUGUUGGCGUGUGAGGAAGAGUGCAUCACAGAGAGAGACGGAUAGAGGCGUCAUCGUGCUGUUAGAGAGCCUGGCGCCACAUCAGCACUUCUGCAGUUCAGCCAAGGACUCCUGCACACGCUGUCAAUCCAUCUUUCACCCUGGGAAAGGGUGAGCGGGAGAUGUACCGCCUGCUAGCUGGCUGGUAUCAGGGAGGAAGAAUGUAGACAUGUCGGAUGCGGUAUCAUCUGCAGAGAACGCCGCAGAUGUUUCUUCUUUAUGGUCGAUGCCCAGUGAAAUGGAGUGGUUGGGUUAUUGCGCUUGUGUAUCAUUUGAUGCCGUGUGAGGAUCAUCUUUGUGGCUGUCCGUCACGAAAUACGGCCUAUUAGUGCAAAAAUAUGUAUUUUUUGCCUAUGGUAAUAAUUUGCAUGCAUGAAAAUGGCUGAAAUACAAAAACAAAUCCUUCAGAAGACGGUGCUAAUGCUAUGUAGCAUUCUACACUGUCAGACUUUUAUUGCAGAUACGCAUCUCCCAACACAUUUAUAGCGACACACGCUAGUACGGGUUUUAUUUAUGUCUUAUUUACUCUUGUUAUGUCUACUAUAUUGGGUAAUACGAGUAUAAAGUUGGCUAUAGGGUUGUUAGUUCAUGUCUAGAGGGCUCUAAUAAUGUUAAAAACUAUGUAGAAAGUUGUAAACAUUUUUUAAUGCUUAUUAUGAAAAUAUUUAUAUAUAAAUCACAGAAUUGUGCAGAA